GGGGUUGUGGCUCAGUGGUAAAGUGCUCACCUAGCAAGUGUGAGGCAUUGCAAUCGAUCCUC
rnacentral:tRNA from 1 species